UACGGAGGGUGCAAGCGUUAAUCGGAAUUACUGGGCGUAAAGCGCGCGUAGGCGGCUCUGUAAGUCGGAUGUGAAAUCCCCGGGCUUAACCUGGGAACUGCAUUCGAUACUGCAGAGCUAGAGUAUGGUAGAGGGAAGUGGAAUUUCCGGUGUAGCGGUGAAAUGCGUAGAUAUCGGAAGGAACACCAGUGGCGAAGGCGACUUCCUGGGCCAAUACUGACGCUGAGGUGCGAAAGCGUGGGGAGCAAACAGG
rnacentral:rRNA from 1 species